CCAAUAGCGUAUAUUAAAGUUGUUGCAGUUAAAAAGCUCGUAGUUGAAUUUCGGGGUCAGCAGGUUGGUCGUGCCACUGGUAUGUACUGGCCUUGCUGAUUCCUCCCUCUUGUUGAGCCGUAAUGCCAUUAAUUUGGGGUUGCGGGGAAUCAGGACUGUUACUUUGAAAAAAUUAGGGUGUUUAAAGCAGGCAUGCGCUUGAAUACAUUAGCAUGGAUUAAUGAAAUAGGACGUUUGAUUCUAUUUUGUUGGUUUCUAGGAUUGACGUAAUGAUUAAUAGGGGUAGUUGGGGGCAUUAGUAUUCAAUUGUCAGAGGUGAAAUUCUUGGAUUUAUUGAAGACUAACUACUGCGAAAGCAUUUGCCAAGGAUGUUUUCAUUAAUCAAGAACGAAAGUUAGGGGAUCGAAGACGAUCAGAUACCGUCGUAGUCUUAACCAUAAACUAUGCCGACUAGGGAUCGGAUGAUGUUAAUUUUUUAAUGACUCAUUCGGCGCCUUACG
rnacentral:rRNA from 1 species